rnacentral:rRNA from 1 species
CCACCACCAAAGCAUUCUCUGGUGUUGAAGGCCCUGCAAAGCAGCAUCGCGGUGGCGGAGCGUCGUUUGCGACGCCCAACACACAAAACAAGCGGUGAAUGCUUUGGGGUGGGGUGACUGCGUACCUUUUGUAUAAUGGGUCAGCGACUUAUAUUCUGUAGCAAGGUUAACCGAAUAGGGGAGCCGGAGGGAAACCGAGUCUUAAUUGGGCGUUAAGUUGCAGGGUAUAGACCCGAAACCCGGUGAUCUAGCCAUGGGCAGGUUGAAGGUUGGGUAACACUAACUGGAGGACCGAACCGACUAAUGUUGAAAAAUUAGCGGAUGACCUGUGGCUGGGGGUGAAAGGCCAAUCAAACCGGGAGAUAGCUGGUUCUCCCCGAAAGCUAUUUAGGUAGCGCCUCGUGAAUUCAUCUCCGGGGGUAGAGCACUGUUUCGGCUAGGGGGCCAUCCCGGCUUACCAACCCGAUGCAAACUGCGAAUACCGGAGAAUGUUAUCACGGGAGACACACGGCGGGUGCUAACGUCCGUCGUGAAGAGGGAAACAACCCAGACCGCCAGCUAAGGUCCCAAAGUCAUGGUUAAGUGGGAAACGAUGUGGGAAGGCCCAGACAGCCAGGAUGUUGGCUUAGAAGCAGCCAUCAUUUAAAGAAAGCGUAAUAGCUCACUGGUCGAGUCGGCCUGCGCG